CCUACGGGUGGCUGCAGUGGGGGAUAUUGCACAAUGGGGGAAACCCUGAUGCAGCGACGCCGCGUGGGUGAAGAAGCGCCUCGGCGCGUAAAGCCCUGUCAGCAGAGAAGAAAAUGACGGUACCUGAAGAAGAAGCCCCGGCUAACUACGUGCCAAGAACCGGGGUAAUAAGUAGGGGGCAAGCGUUAUCCGGAUUUACUGGGUGGAAAGGGGGCGCAGACGGGGAAGCAAGCCAGGAGGGAAAGGCCGGGGGCCAACCCCGGGAAUGCUCUGGGAACUGCGUGGCUAGAGUGCAGGAGGGGAAGGCGGAAUUCCUGGUGUAGCGGUGAAAUGCGUAGAUAUCAGGAGGAACACCGGUGGCGAAGGCGGCCUGCUGGACUGUAACUGACGUUGAGGCCCGAAAGCGUGGGGAGCAAACAGGAUUAGAUACCCGAGUAGUC
rnacentral:rRNA from 1 species